AGAUUGAUGCUCGCUGGAUAGAGUGUUUAGUUGUUAACUAAGUUUUUGCGGGAUCGAGGCCCGUCGGUCUAG
rnacentral:tRNA from 1 species